UACAACAUAAGAAUGUCUAAAUCCCUUCACCUCCCGUCUCCUCUCCCAAAACCCCCUAUCUCUGAAAACCCUAGCAACGCUACCCUUUCCUCCACCACCUUGAGCCCGGUGGCGCCGCCUCCAAACAACCCCAAAAUCACACACCUGAACCCUCUCGACCCCCUCUAUCCAAUUCUCAACACGGCUCCCCUCGAAUCUAUCCGGAACGUCUCGAAUUUUGAAUCUAAAGUUCGAACCUUAAAUCCCACAACAUCAAAUUGGCAAGGUUUUUAAGGAGUUGAGGUGGAAAGCGACUUUAGUCGUGUGCUUUCAGUUGAGAACACAAGAUUAAGGUCCAUAUCGAAAAAAAAUCGAAGAUUUAUUGAGGCUUGGUUCAAGACUGUGGUCCGCCUAGUUUUGAUAGGUAUUCCGGUAUUUUCUCUUUUCCAUUUUUCUUAUCUUCUUCUAUCCUUCUUCUUUUUAUUCUGUUUUCUCAAAUUGCCUUUGCAUGUAUUUCUUUCAGUUCAUUUUAAGUGUUAAUUGCCAUUUUUCUUUAGUUUAUUUGGAUUCAUUAGAUUAGUUUUUGUUUAGUUUCCUUUUUUUAGUUUUGGAUCGUAUUGAACCUUUAAUUUGUUUGGAAUCUGAAUUGCCUUUUCUGCCUUGUCAUUUCUUCUGAAUGUGGAGUUAGUCCUGGGCCCAAAGAAAAGGGAUUAGCCCAAGUCUUCCUAGAAUUUGUUUGGUUUUGAGUCUUUGGGUCCAUUGACCCGUGAAUUUAGCUGGAAGGGUAAUUUUCAGGGCUCAAAGGGGUAGUUUGGGAAAAUUGGUUUAGGGAAUCUCUGAAAACUGAUUGAGGAAGAUUCUAGUAAUACUCGCCGAGGGUCGAUUGGAAGCAGCCUCUCUGCCCUUUCGGGCAGGGGUAAGGCUCGUCUACAUAUUACCCUCCCCAGACCCCACCUGGUGGGAGUAUGGUGGGAGUAUACUGGGUAGUUGUUGUUGUUGUGGAAUCUCUGAAAACUGAUUGAGGAAGAUUCUAGGAAGCUAGGGUGGGGACUAAAUUGAAGUUCUGAAUUUUACAUUAAUGGUACCUAAGCUAAAAUGAAAAUAUCAAAAAGUGCAGAGUGCAAAUCUGAGUUCUUUUAAAUUGCCCUAAUGCCUUGCUUAUAAAGGCACCUUACUUGAUAUUCAAAAAAAAAGAGAAUGAGAUAAAGAUUUUGCAAAAUUGAAACGGCUGAAGAACUUUGGAAGCACACUGAUUUCUCUGAAUUCCCUUUAUGAAUAAUUGCUCAAAAUUCUAACUACUUUGAAGUUGUGAUCCUUUUCAUUAGUAGAAUUUCUUGAAAACUCUAAUUUUGCACCUGCUUUGAAGAUGAUUAUUUUGGGAUUUAAAAGUUGGUUUUGAGCUGAGCUUGUGUAGAGUCCUGUUUCAGUUCGAUAUUAGGUUUGGGGUCUGCUGUGUAUCACUGUUAGUUCAAGUUGAGUUUUGCUGAUUAUUUCUUGAAUCUGGGUUAGGUGAAGUCCUGCUGCUUACUGUAUACUGAUUCUGCAUUUCUUUUCCUUUCAAUUUCCAGGUAUUUUCAGCACCACGGACAUCACUUAAGUGUAGUUGAAGUUUGAACUUGAAAUGUGAUUAAGAACUGAUGAUAUUUAUAUUGAAUCUUUUUCCUUUUCUUUCAAUCUCAUGUAUUCAUGUAUUCAUGUAAUAUUUAGCAUUAGAAAUGUUUUGACUAGUAUAUUGAGCAUGAGUUGAUUGUCAUAGGACGAAAUCGAAGUUAUAAGCAAUUUGAUUCUUCUGUUUAGCAUCAGUUUUGUUGAAAAUGGCUAUAGGGGAAAGAUGUGUCUUGGUUUGUAAUGGCAGUAACAUUUAGGUUGGUUUGAAUAGUUGGCUAGUAUUUGAAUGAUAUAUGAUUAGGUUGGAUCUUGCAUUAAUUUUUUGAUAGUAUAUUGAAAGGUUUUGUUUAAGGCUUAAAGACCAACAUAUUUGUUUAUGAUUUGGUAUAUGAAUUUGAAUAGGACGCAAGGCCAAAUAAUGUUGCUUUGUAUUGAAUUCAGAAACAGAUUUUCCUUAGUUGUGUGAUUUAUAUCUUAUAGCCCUCCAAAGCUUAUUAGUUCAUAUGAAAAUUGUCAGAUAUUUGUGCUUAUUUAAUAGGUUUCAAAGUUAAAAUUAAGUGUUUUAAGUGUUCCACCUGAGGUGUUCCGAGUUUUCAUGCAUUUUGUAUUUCAAUUAGUUUAGGUUGCUCUUGCUUAAAUCAAUGAAUGCCGGAUAAUUCUAAAUUGGAUCAUGUGGAGAUUUGUUUUAAAAAACCAAAGUUUUUGGAGCCUAGGAUGGUUUGGCUCCUCAGAGAUUCGAUCUCUGGUCAAUACGCACGGAUGUCAAUUACUUUGUUAGAUCUGGGCUCAAUUUGGUCCUAGAGCCU
rnacentral:lncRNA from 1 species